rnacentral:misc_RNA from 1 species
GAAAUGCGAUAAGUAGUGUGAAUUGCAGAAUUCAGUGAAUCAUCGAAUCUUUGAACGCACAUUGCGCCCCUCGGUAUUCCGUGGGGCAUGCCUGUUCGAGCGUCAUUUAAACCCUCAAGCUCAGCUUGGUAUUGGGUGCUUGUCCCGCCUCUGCGCGGCGACUCACCUCAAAAACAGUGGCAGCCCGCAUCCGCCGGCCGUGAGCGCAGCACAGUCGCACUCAACAGUCUUGGCAGGUCGGCUAACCAAAAGCUUACUUUUCUUAUUUUGACCUCGGAUCAGGUAGGGAUACCCGCUGAACUUAA